rnacentral:rRNA from 1 species
GACGAACGCUGGCGGCGUGCCUAAUACAUGCAAGUUGAGCGCUGAAGGUUGGUACUUGUACCGACUGGAUGAGCAGCGAACGGGUGAGUAACGCGUGGGGAAUCUGCCUUUGAGCGGGGGACAACAUUUGGAAACGAAUGCUAAUACCGCAUAAAAACUUUAAACACAAGUUUUAAGUUUGAAAGAUGCAAUUGCAUCACUCAAAGAUGAUCCCGCGUUGUAUUAGCUAGUUGGUGAGGUAAAGGCUCACCAAGGCGAUGAUACAUAGCCGACCUGAGAGGGUGAUCGGCCACAUUGGGACUGAGACACGGCCCAAACUCCUACGGGAGGCAGCAGUAGGGAAUCUUCGGCAAUGGACGAAAGUCUGACCGAGCAACGCCGCGUGAGUGAAGAAGGGUUUCGGAUCGUAAAACUCUGUUGGUAGAGAAGAACGUUGGUGAGAGUGGAAAGCUCAUCAAGUGACGGUAACUACCCAGAAAGGGACGGCUGACUACGUG